AUUGAACGCUGGCGGCAGGCCUAACACAUGCAAGUCGAACGGUAACAGGAAGAAGCUUGCUUCUUUGCUGACGAGUGGCGGACGGGUGAGUAAUGUCUGGGAAACUGCCUGAUGGAUGGGGUUAACUACUGGAAACGGUUGCUAAUACCGCAUAACGUCGCAAGACCAAAGAGGGGGACCUUCGGGCCUCUCGCCAUCGGAUGUGCCCAGAUGGGAUUAGCUAGUAGGUGGGGUAACGACUCACCUAGGCGACGAACCCUAGCUGGUCUGAGAGGAUGACAAGCCACACUGGAACGGAGACACGGACCAGAGUCCUACGGGAGGCAGCAGUGGGGAAUGUUGGACAGUGGGCGCAAGCCUGAUGCAGCCAUGCCGAGUGUAUGAAGAAGGCCUUCGGGUUGUAAAGUACUUUCAGCGGGGAGGAAGGGAGUAAAGUUAAUACCUUGGCUCAUUGACGUUACCCGCAGAAGAAGCACCGGCUAACUACGUG
rnacentral:rRNA from 1 species